UGAAGAGUUUGAUCAUGGCUCAGAUUGAACGCUGGCGGCAGGCUUAACACAUGCAAGUCGAGCGGUAACAGGGGGAGCUUGCUCCCCGCUGACGAGCGGCGGACGGGUGAGUAAUGCAUAGGAAACUGCCCAGUAGUGGGGGAUAGCCCGGGGAAACCCGGAUUAAUACCGCGUACGCCCUUCGGGGGAAAGCAGGGGAUCUUCGGACCUUGCGCUAUUGGAUGUGCCUAUGUCGGAUUAGCUAGUUGGUGGGGUAAGAGCCUACCAAGGCGACGAUCCGUAGCUGGUCUGAGAGGAUGAUCAGCCACAUCGGGACUGAGACACGGCCCGAACUCCUACGGGAGGCAGCAGUGG
rnacentral:rRNA from 1 species